AUGUUGAACCUGAACUUCUGGAGUUUUGAAGACACGAUAUGUUCGUUUUGUUUGUUAAUUGUUAUAUCGAUGAUGAUGUCAGAUUUGUCAGCUCCCAUUCUGAGCACCUGGAUUGAAUCAAAAGAGAAGGAUUUUGAAGAGAGAUACGAUCAAAUGUUCAACAUAAAUAAUAAGGUGAGCUCCUUGGAUGAGCUUUGUAGUUUCCACGAGCUAUUUUUGCAGUCUCUAGAGUUAUUUUUCUCGCCGCAGUACUGUUUUAUAAGAAUUCUGAAUUUAAUUUCCGAAAUCAAAAGUAUUCGUAGUACUUUUGCAUUGAGCAUUUGA
rnacentral:rRNA from 1 species